rnacentral:misc_RNA from 1 species
AUGACAAUCAAUCAAUUGACAGUUCUUCGCGUUUAUUACGAGCACGUAUUUUGUGAUACAAUAUUAAAUUAUAUUACCGGGUCGAUUUUCCUGAGAGAACAAUACUCUUACUCAGUAACAUCUAACUAUUUAAUCACGACUCUAUUAAGAUUUUUCUCGAGAAUGGUGCAGAAAGGUCCUCGUCCGUUGGUGCUGUGUGGACCUUCUGGGUCAGGCAAGAGUACUUUGUUGAAACGCCUUCUCAAAGAAUUCCCGGAUAAAUUCGGGUUUAGUGUGUCGCACACCACAAGGAGUCCUCGUCCAGGUGAAAAGAAUGGUGUUCACUACCACUUCACCACCAAAGAAGACAUGAGCGCCGCUAUAGCGAGAGGAGAGUUUAUAGAGACCGCAACUUUCAGUGGCAACAUGUAUGGAACAAGUAAACAAGCUGUGGAUGAUGUGCGGUGCACGGGCAGGAUCUGUGUGCUGGACAUUGAGAUGGAGGGAGUGAAACAAGUGAAGAAAACUGAUCUCAACCCACUGCUGGUGUUUGUGAUGCCACCUUCCAUUGAGGAGUUGGAGAGGCGGCUGCGAGCUCGCAACACUGAACAAGAGGAUGCUUUGGCUAAGAGGCUGGAGACAGCACGCAAAGAAAUUGUGUUUGGUCAGGAGCCAGGGAACUUCCACAUCAUCAUUCUCAAUGACAAUUUGGACAAGGCAUACUCGGAGCUGCGUGAGUUUAUAUCUCAAAACAUGGAGGAAAAGGAAAGAGAUGACAAGGACAAGAAUGGCGGAGACAACUGAACAACCUUUGCAUGAAGCAUGAUAUCCAUGGGAUACAUAAAGAUGUGCAUAAAUGUUAUCCUCUGUAUUUGAUAUUUUUAAAUUGGUGUUAGUUGUGUGUUUAACACUAAUAAUGGCCCCAAUAAACAAGCAUCUAUAUGCUUUAAAAACAAAUCUAUGAGAAACUACCUCCUAUUAAAUUUUAACUGUUCUUCGAGGAUUCUAAGAAAACCGGCGCUGAAAUAUCCUUACUUAUCUGAUAAAUAUAUGUAUUAGUAUUAUUUGCUAAUUAAAUACUCGUCGAUUAGAAUGUAUCACCUCUGCUUUGAUGGCAAUGUGUAAGAGAUAUAAAGUUAUCAGCAAUUGUUUGUCACUAAAAGUGAAUUCAGUGAGGAGUUACAUUCUUGACAAGUAUUAUAUUUUUGUGGGGCUUAUUUUUAUAUAACUAUCAAACUCUCCAUUUUGGUGUUCAAUUUAAACCAUUCCAAGAAACUAGCAAUGCUGUACUGCUAUAUACAUGAAAUUAUUGUGAUUUGCAUAAUUUUUACUAUUUAUUAACUUGCCUAUUUAUUUAUUCCAAAACGGUGUUGCGUUUGCAAUUAAAAAUUUACGCGGAUUGUAUGCAUUAAGUGUUGUCUGUAUGUAUAGAAAAUAAAAGCAUUGAAAUCAA